rnacentral:piRNA from 1 species
UCUAAUGUUUGCGCCUGCGUCUGUAC